UAUAUGUCACGUCAAAAUUAUAAAAAUGCAAAAACUAGCAAUAAUUUCCUUCUCAUCUUCUGCUUAAAGGCCACCAGUUCGACAGGCGACAUCUCCGCAGAACAACUCAGUGCAUUACCACACGAUACCUACCCAUAAUUUACCAUGUCGCUAUUGUUUGCUGUCAUUGCGACCAUCCUGAUUUUCACAAUAUUCCGGGACUACUUGAUUAGACUGCUGGUAUGCUCCGAUCUGAAUUCAAGACAUAAUGAAAAGAAAAAGGAAUAUGGAUGCUUUUCUCUUUAUCCCCAGGAUAAAAAAAAGAUAUCGAGAGAGCAGACGAAAAAGGUCUAUAAUUGUAAGGCAUCCUUAUCAAGCCAAUGGUUCCCAAAACACAAGACGGACCCCCGAAUCUUUGUUGACGACGAAGAGAUUGGAAAUCAGCCUGUAGUCAACUAAUAACAUUGUACCAUACCUAUGACCAUACUUUGCUUGACUCAAAAUUUACAGUAGGUAUUUCUCUUUUAUAAUACCUCUACAUACCCACAUUGUCAUGUGUUACUUCACUGUUGAAAUAUAUUUGUAUA